UACAGAGGGGGCAAGCGUUGUUCGGAAUUACUGGGCGUAAAGGGCGCGUAGGCGGCCUGCUAAGUCGAACGUGAAAUCCCUGGGCUCAACCCAGGAACUGCGUCCGAUACUGGUUGGCUUGAAUCCGGGAGAGGGACGUGGAAUUCCAGGUGUAGCGGUGAAAUGCGUAGAUAUCGGGAGGAACACCAGUGGCGAAGGCGGCGAUCUGGGCUGAUACUGACGCUGAGGUGCGAAAGCGUGGGGAGCAAACAGG
rnacentral:rRNA from 1 species